rnacentral:rRNA from 1 species
CGGUAAUUCCAGCUCCAAUAGCGCAUACUUGAGUUGCUGCAGUUAAAACGCUCGUAGCUGUACCUGUGGGCCGACCGCCCGGUCCGGCGCCUCUGUGCGCCGCGUACCUGGGUUCUUUUAGGUCGGCUCAUCCUCGCGGAGAGGCGUCUCCGGCGUUCAUUCGCCGGGGCGCGGACCCGCGUCCUUCACUGUGAGAAAAACGGAGUGCUUCAGGCAGGCGAUUCAGCUUGAACGCGUUAGCAUGGAAUGAUGAGAUAGGACUUGGGUGCCAUUUCGUCGGUUGGGGCCCUGAGUAAUGAUUGAUAGGAGCGGUCGGGGGUACUCGUAUUUGGCCGUCAGAGGUGAAAUUCACGGAUUUGCGAAAGACGAACCUAGGCGAAAGCAUCUACCAAGGACGCUUCCUUUAGUCAAGAACGAAAGUUAGGGGAUCGAAGAGGAUCAGAUACCCUCGUAGUCCUUACCAUAAACUAUGCCGACUGGGGAUUGGGCGGGCUACACUUAAACGACCCGCUCAGCACCCUGGGAGAAAUCAGAGUCUUUGGGUUCCGGGGGGAGUAUGGUCGCAAGGCUGAAACUUAAAGGAAUUGACGGAAGAGCACCACCAGGAGUGGAGCUUGCGGCUCAAUUUGACUCAACACGGGGAAACUUACCAGGUCCAGACACAGCGAGGAUUGACAGGUUGACAGCCCUUUCUUGAUUCUGUGGGUGGUGGUGCAUGGCCGUUCUUAGUUGGUGGAGCGAUCUGUCUGGUUAAUUCCGUUAACGAACGAGACCACCGCCUGCUAAAUAGACGCGCGCUCGCCCCACGCGCCCUCGCGGCGCGCGGGCAGCGCGACGAGCUUCUUAGAGGGACUCCCGGCGCCUCCAGCCGGGGGAAGUUGGUGGCAAUAACAGGUCUGUGAUGCCCUUAGAUGUUCUGGGCCGCACGCGAGCUACACUGACGCGCGCAGCGAGCGUACAACCUUGGCCUGAGAGGUCCGGGUAAUCUGCGAAAGCGCGUCGUGCUUGGGCUAGUUCUUUGCAAUUUUCGAACUUCAACGAGGAAUUCCUAGUAGACGCAGGUCAUCAGCCUGCAUCGAUUACGUCCCUGCUCUUUGUACACACCGCCCGUCGCAUCUACCGAUCGGACGGUCCGGUGAAACCUCCGGAUCGCGCCGGCAGCCGCCCUCGGGCGGGUCCGCCGGCGCGAGAAGUUGGUUGAACCUUACCGUCUAGAGGAAGAUGAAGUCGUAACAAGGUAGCCG